rnacentral:rRNA from 1 species
UACGUAGGGGGCUAGCGUUGUCCGGAAUCAUUGGGCGUAAAGCGCGUGUAGGCGGUUCGGUAAGUCCGCUGUGAAAGUCGGGGGCUCAACCCUCGAAUGCCGGUGGAUACUGUCGAACUAGAGUGCGGAAGAGGCGAGUGGAAUUCCUGGUGUAGCGGUGAAAUGCGCAGAUAUCAGGAGGAACACCGGCGGCGAAGGCGGCACUCUGGGCCGGUACUGACGCUGAGGAGCGAAAGCGUGGGUAGCAAACAGG